rnacentral:rRNA from 1 species
ACGGGGUGCAGCAGGCGCGAAAACUUCGCAAUGCGCGCAAGCGUGACGAGGGAACCCCGAGUGUGGGCCGACAAGGUCUACUUUUCCCGAGUGUAAAAAUCUUGGAGAAUAAGGGCUGGGCAAGACUGGUGCCAGCCUCCGCGGUAACACCAGCAGCUCGAGUGGUAGUCGUUUUUAUUUGGCUUAGAGCGUUCGUAGUCGGUUUAGUAAGUCUUCUGUGAAAUCCAGAUGCUCAACGUUUGGGCUUGCAGAGGAAACUGCUAGACUUGGAGCCGGGAAGGGCGAGGGGUAUUCCUUAGGUAGCGGUGAAAUGCUAUAAUCUUGGGAAGACCACCUGUGGCGAAGGCGCCUCGCUGGAACGGGCUCGACGAUGAGGAACGAGAGCUAGGGGAGCGAAUCGGAUUAGAUACCCGAGUAGUCCUAGCCGUAAACGAUGCGGACUGAGUGUAACGGAAACCUCGUGUUUCUGUUGUGCUGUAGGGAAACCGUUAAGUCCGCCGCCUGGGAGUACGUCGCAAG